rnacentral:rRNA from 1 species
GCGCGGGAAGCGAGUGGAUCCCUUCGGGGUGAAGCUCGUGGAACGAGCGGCGGACGGGUGAGUAACACGUGGGCAACCUGCCUGUAAGAUCGGAAUAACCCCGGGAAACCGGGGCUAAUGCCGGGUAAUACUUUCUUUCGCAUGAAGGAAAGUUGAAAGAUGGCUUCUCGCUAUCACUUACAGAUGGGCCCGCGGCGCAUUAGCUAGUUGGUGAGGUAACGGCUCACCAAGGCGACGAUGCGUAGCCGACCUGAGAGGGUGAUCGGCCACACUGGGACUGAGACACGGCCCAGACUCCUACGGGAGGCAGCAGUAGGGAAUCUUCCGCAAUGGACGAAAGUCUGACGGAGCAACGCCGCGUGAACGAUGAAGGUCUUCGGAUCGUAAAGUUCUGUUGUUAGGGAAGAACAAGUACCGUGCGAAUAGAGCGGUACCUUGACGGUACCUAACGAGGAAGCCCCGGCUAACUACGUGCCAGCAGCCGCGGUAAUACGUAGGGGGCAAGCGUUGUCCGGAAUUAUUGGGCGUAAAGCGCGCGCAGGCGGUUCCUUAAGUCUGAUGUGAAAGCCCACGGCUCAACCGUGGAGGGUCAUUGGAAACUGGGGAACUUGAGGACAGAAGAGGAGAGUGGAAUUCCACGUGUAGCGGUGAAAUGCGUAGAUAUGUGGAGGAACACCAGUGGCGAAGGCGACUCUCUGGU